rnacentral:misc_RNA from 1 species
AACAUCGCGCACCUGCGGGAACCUGCGGAAGGAUCAUUAUAGAGUGUAACCCCCUGUAAAAUGGGGGUACCUCCCGUCCUUUGCAGGCCCUUUAGGGUCUUUUACACUUUGCUUCGGUGGGGUAACCCACCGGAACACUCUCAAAAAUUCUGAUUUUAAAAUUGUUCAGUCUGAGAAUUUUUGAAAAUAAAUAAAAAACUUUCAACAACGGAUCU